UGGACUGAACCUCUGAACCUAAGCCUGACUGGAUGGCAGAAAGAUUUUACCCGUUGCUACAAGUCCUCAUUCACUGCACAUGGAAUGCUGUCGAGCUGUCCCUACAGGCAAUCCCUACAGACAGAGAGUUACAGCUACAAACGUAAGCAGCAAAAAUGACUUAGAGCAGAUGUGGCCAGAGGGAAGCCCCCAGUGUUGGGUGCCAUCAUUGUCUAUUGUGAGGAGAGUCAGGUGACAUGUUCUCCGCCAUAGAUGCAUCCUCGCCUGCCGAGCUGAUUGACACACUGCCAGGUUUCCGUUUACCUUUUAAAAUAUUGACAUUUGUGAGCCGAGGGGAAGAGUCUUCUCUUUGUCUGUCCAGUUCCAUAGGUCUUGUGCAUGGGGAGCAUGUGCCCUCAUUUGCGUUCUCACUUCCUUGGGCAAUGGCACUCAAGGGUGAGCUCAGUCAUCUGCAGACAUUGCAUUGGGGCAGACUCUGUGCUGUCCCCACUGAUUCUGCCAGACCAAAGAUGAAUCUGUAGUUUGGCAGAUGAUACUCCAUCUUUAUGAUUGCCCUCAUAUAAUCUAGUCUGCUUCAGUGUUUACCGUGUGUCGGAUGCUGUCUCUAGAUCCCUUGCUUUUCAUCCCAUCUGACUGACCGUCAGCUCUGUGAGGUGGGUGCUGCUAUUGUACAUAUCUCAUAGAUGGCCGUGUGAUGUCUGCCAAUGAUUCAUUUGUGGAUAGAAGAGGAGAUGGUUUCCACUGAAGUCCUCACAUGAUUCUUUAUUUAACCCCUGUUGCAUAGUUAGGUUCUGUUCUGAGACAGGGUCUCGCUAUGUUGCUCAGGCUGGUCUUGAACUCAUAAUCCUUUUGCUGCAGCCUCCAGAGUCUGAGCACUACCAUGCUGAGCUAUAGGCAUGUACUGCCAUGCUCAGCUAUUUAACUAGUUUUAGUGGAGCCUUCAGUGUUUAGCAUGGGGUUCAAUAUGAGUAUGAGGCAUGGUACCUGUCUACACAGCAUCUACAGACUAAUAGGCAGAUGGAAAUAGAACCUGCAUAUACUGUCUUGUGGAGUAAACUUAGAUUUGGCUUGUCUAUCAUUAGUCUUUAUGGGUCUAAGAUUCUUUCUCAAAACUAGGAUUAGACUAGAUUGUAGGUUACUAACUUUCUCCUGUAGAAGGCCAUAUAAUACAUAUUCUAGUCUUUGUAAUGAAUAUAAUCUUUGUUAUAACUAUUCAAUUUUGCUGCUGUGUGUAAUCAGAAAAAUAACAGAAAGGCACAGCUGCAUUCAAAUAAAGCUUUAUUGACAAAGACUUUUGUAAUAAAACUUGAAUAGGUAGGGUGUGACCCAUUAUCAGCCCUUGGGACAGAUGAUUUGGGUAGAUACCUCUGUUCAGAAAAUGCUCUAAUUUCUCCGCGUGCCAUAUGGAUCAUAGUGUGGGAGUAAGAAGCCAUUUAUCUGGCUUAUCUCAGGAUGAGUUCUGUUUGGAAACCAACCACUUGGCUAUGGGUGUGCUCCUGGAGAGGCAGUUAAAAGGACUUCAUCACUAUUCUGAUUGAGAUUGCAAUGGGAGCCACGAAAGAGGGUGGGGGAUGGGAUGGUCUCAUUAAUUAGCGGUGGGCAUCACUGUUGCAGUUAGAAAUCUGGCCAUUAGCUCAGCAGGACAAGGAAGCUACCAUGGGGUAGGCCGGAGAUGUGAAUUUCCCAGGAGCCAAAUGCAAAAAUAAAUAAUUCUUUUUAGAAAGAAGUGUUUAUAUAACUCCUUAUGUAAGCCUUAGAAUCCAAGAUAAUAAAACAUAAUCCUAAUGUUCAUAACAAACCUAAUACAGCUAUGAUAAUUCCACCUAACAUAAUUCUGAUAAUACAACACAAGUCUAACAUAACAGGCUGCGGUGGGACAUUUCGUCUGUGGGUGACCUGUACCUUGAUGGUGUUUCUGCCCUCCAUUACUUUCAAUGUUGCUGUCUCUCCAACAGCAGCCUGGUGGUCCUGUUCUCUACCCCCCAAAUUUCCCCCUCUACUUUCAUGCCUAUUUUAUAGAUUUGAUUUUAAUCUCUUUUCAUCUAAAAUGUACCUACCCAAUCUCCAUUUGAAUACACUCAUUUAUUAUUUCCAUAUAUUUGAAUAACUCUCCUAUGACUUUGAAUGAAUGCACAAUUUUAGGUCUGUUUCUGCUGAAAGGGACACAGAAAACUUAUUCAGCUGACUUGAGGGUCAGUUGAAGGCCUUGGAGUCUAGACGAUCCAAGCAGAGAGUGGACAUUAGGUGAGCAGGUCUGAGCAGGUCUAUCAAAUAAGGGGCUCAUGGGGUAGAGUUUCUGUCUUUCUUUCAUUUCCACUUCUGUUUGUGUUGCUUCACUGACAAGUUUUUGUUUGUUUUUGAGAUAAAGUCUCCUUAGCCCAAAUUCAAACUCACAUGUGGCUGAGGACCAUGUUGAACUCCUGACCCUCUGGUCUCCAUCUUCCAUGUGCUGGGAUUACAUGGUGGCAUGAGCCACCAAGCCCAGCACAGUUCAGCUUCAUCUUUAAGCUGACAUUUCCCUGGUAGUCAGAUGGUACUGCAAGAUUCAACUUCUUGUUUGACUAAAAUGCAGCUAGGAAAAGCCAACAUCUUCCUCCAGAAGCCCUGGUGUGGUGUCUUUGGGUAUCACUGGCAAUGCCUGGGUUGUCAUGGCAGCUUGAACACUGAUGUGGGGCUGUUGGGUGGGGCUGAGAUUCUGCCGGUGGCGGUAAGUUGUAGAACCCAGGCUACCCAGGGAACGCUGGGCUGUGUUCGCCAGCAAGAGGCGGAUGGCUGUGGGUUAACAAACAACAGAUGUCCAGCACAAUGGCACUUUGUGAUGUUCAAAAAUGCUUUUAUGGAAGUGACUCAUUUGAUUUUAUAAUUUUAUGGGAUAUGUUCGUCAGCUGUUGUUAUUUCCAUUUUCAGAUGAGGACGCAAAGCAUGAAUCACCCGACUCAUUCAAAUGCACGCAUUGACAGCAGAGAUUGUAUUAACGCUUUUCUCUGAAUGGUGUUGACAUCUGACCACAACGCAGGAAAAUAUUAGUUCUGCCCCGGACUAGAUCUCUAUCAAUGCCACUUAAAACUGAAUUGAUAGGUUGAUUAGUCACAGCACACUGGCUUGUACUGAAUUCACAACUAAUUAAGACCCUUCUGAUCUUUCAUGACUUCUUCUUCUUCUUUUUUUUUUUUUUUGGUUCUUUUUUUCGGAGCUGCUUUCAUGACUUCUAAUAAAACAUUAUACACCUAAUUUUUCCCACUUAAACCAAGAAGAUGCUUAUCUUUGUACUAUCUCAUAUUAAACUCCUCUUGUUGCCGUGAACAGGUAAGAAGACUUGAGUGGUAUGGAAUUCAGAGCAUGAAGUUGUCUUUUCCGGAUUUAUGCUCUCUCCAAGCUUAACAGCCAUGGCCUAUUUUGUCUUCUAAGUGAUGGCUAAGACGAUUGAGCAAUAAGGUGUAUGUAUGAAGUGCAGUCUGGAAUGAUGCCCCCAGAGCUAAAUCAGAGGACUCCGUCUCUGCUUACUCAACGGUUUGCCAGCUGUACGGACGGAGGCCAGACUGACCUACCCAUCGAGUCAUUUUACAGAUGGACCACCUCUCUUCCUUCAGCCUCUUUCCUUGUGUUCUAAUAUAGGCCACGUCUUUACUGAGAAUAUCACCUUUAGAAAUGACACCACCGGCCUGAAGUCAGAGGUAGCUGUGCCUCUGUGAAAUUCCCUCAUCAUUUGUUCUGGAUUCAGCGAGGAGAGUUGAGGCUACUGAGUUAGUGUUAGGUUCCUGUCAAGACACUAGGAAGACAGAACAGUGGGCAAGCCUGACAGUCCGCGAAAAUCUGCUAUUAAACAAAUUCUACAGCACGCAUCCCCUCAACAACAUGAGAGUCUUUUUUUAGAUUAGGAAAGUUAAAUUUUGUAACUCGGAUGUAAAUAAUAAAGGCAUCUGGGAACAAUCAAAAA
rnacentral:sRNA from 1 species